rnacentral:rRNA from 1 species
AUUCCAGCUCCAAUAGCGUAUAUUAAUGUUGUUGCAGUUAAAAAGCCCGUAGUUGGAUUUCUGGUCGGAACGCCGGUCCGGCUCCGCAGGGGGUCGUGUAUUGGUUUCUCCUGCCAUCCUCAGGGGGAGCUGCGCUGGUAUUCAUUUAUCGGCGUGGUUACGCCUGUCGUUUACUGUGAACAAAUUAGAGUGUUCAAAGCAAGGUGUACUUGAAUACAUUAGCAUGGAAUAAUAAGAUAGGACUUUGGUGGUUCUUUUUGAUAUUUUGUUGGUUUGCACGCCAAAGUAAUGAUUAAUAGGAGCAGUUGGGGGUAUUCGUAUUCAAUUGUCAGAGGUGAAAUUCUUGGAUUUAUAGAAGACGAACUACUGCGAAAGCAUUUACCAAGGAUGUUUUCAUUA